GGUUUAGAUUGGCUUGUCUUCGUCUCCCUCGUCCACCACAUAUCUCAUCUCAGCUUCGCUGGUGGAGCCACGCGAUACCAUCCGUGAAGCACUUCCGGUACCUAUCCAUGCCGGCCGGCUGCAAGGACACGCCGACCUCCAUCCCGCCGAUGCAGCUCCGGCUCUCCGCCACCGCCACUGCACCGGUCCUCGCCACGGACACGAUGUCCACCUUCAGUGGCCGGCCAAAACCGAAGUCCAGCUCGUAGACACGGAACCUCGGUGAGCCAGCCACGGACAGUAUGCCAUUUGCGCUUGCCUCCUUGAUGCGGUCCAACCAGGCGUCCAUGCUGGAUGUCCCGAUGUCGCGCACAGCUUCGUCAAUGGCGGAGGCGACCGCGGCGCACGCUGUGAAGAGGCCUCCUACGCCUGCCACCGCCAGCUCGCUCUUGGGUGCCAUCCCGAAUGCUGGGCCGACGCAGUUGCCGAGGUACCUUUCCGGGAGCGGAGGCUUCAUCCGCGAGCGGUGGUUGACAGGGAAGAGGAUGCAGGUCAUUGGGCCCUCGCCGGAGCCGCAGCUCUCUUUGGCUCGCUGGUAGCAUGACCAGACGAAGCCGAAGGUGGCAACCAGAGAGGAGCACCGUGGCGGCGCAACGCCGCGCCUCGCGGCCUCGUCGGCCACGACCUCCUUGAUGCGCUGCAGGUCGUCCUUGGACAGAGUGAACGUGGCGAAGAGCUGGUCAGCGGACAUUUUGGCGAACUCCAUCUCAUCAGUGCUCGGUGCCUCUUGAUAAAAGACGUUGUAGAGGCCCCUCGGGUCCGCGAGGAGAGUCCGGUCGAUGACAGGUGGGGGCGGAGCUUCGGUGCCGCUGCAGGCGGCUGCCCAGGUGUGCAGGAAGUGCGUUGAGUUCGAGCCGUCGCAGGCGGCGUGGUGCACGGUCACACCGAUGGCGAGGCCGCGGCGCGCGGACAACAGCGUGGCCUGCAAGGCGAACAGCCCGCCGCCCUCCGCCAACGGCGGCACCAGCGUCCCGAUCUUCGCUACCUCUCGGGGGUCGCCAGCGGCGAGGCCAUCGAUGUCCGCAUCGCCGUCGUCACACUCAGCGACGGUGAAGGUGACGGCGUCACCCGGGCUGUAGUACAGCUCGUAGCGGUCCGAUGUGCCGGGAGUGAGGCGAAGGCGGCCGGCGAGCGGGUAGAAGACUCGGAAGGCCUUGUGCAAGGAGUCCUUGAGGUUGGAGAUGAUGGUGGCGACGUCAGCAUCGGGGGCGAGGCGGUAGAAGAGGAGGCGCUCGACGGGCGGGGAGUUGAGCCAGAUGAUGUCGAAGAAGGUGAGCGGGAGCGAGGUCUGCGGCGGCGACGGGGACGGCGCCACGAGGAUGGUGUCGUG
rnacentral:lncRNA from 1 species